GCAUCCGGAGUCAGAGACUCCCCACAUCCUGCAGGCCUUUGGGCAAGCUGAUGGUCGGUCUGCAAGAGCUAUGCCCUCCCCCUUGCCAAGGACUCUGCCCUGCUCCUUCAGCCUAGAGCCAAGAAUCCCAAUGAAGAAAAUGGAGGGAAAAAAAAGAUCGGCAAUGACAUCCCUGCCCCACCCUACAUCCACUCGCAUGAAGACUUGAUUCUCAGCACCACUGUCUUCCUUCCUCUUUCCCUACCCAAGCUUCAUCCUCAGUUGCCUUUACCAAGGACUCUACUCUCUCAAUCCCUGCCCUCCCUCCCACAGCUUGCAUCACCUUGUUGAUCUCAAAGCUUCGGGGAAAUGAAAAUAGCUUCUCAUCUUGAAAAGGGCUUCUGUCCCUGCUGUGUGGUAUAAUUGGACACGGUGCACUUAUUUCCUGCCCCUUAUUAUCUGGCCCCUUACAGACAUCUAGGUCUGCUGUUUUCUUCCCAUUUUUAAAAACUUGGAGUUAUGUUAUUGUGUCUAUUGACACAGAUAGCAGAGGGCUUCCUAGAUGCCCUUGAAUGCCUUUGUGAUAGUUCUUGCCUCCUCAAAGAAACAUUUCUUAGUGAUCCUUGAGUUCAGAGCCAUCAUUGAAUAGCUUUGGAAACUCAGGCAACCAAAGAGCCAUCUCGUGUAUUCCUAGAGUCCCUCUUCUUCUGAAUCUAUACGUGGACCUUUGCACCUAGCAAAGGUU
rnacentral:lncRNA from 1 species